rnacentral:rRNA from 1 species
AACGAACGCUGGCGGCAGGCCUAACACAUGCAAGUCGAGCGCCCCUUUCGGGGGGAGCGGCGGACGGGUGAGUAACGCGUGGGAACGUACCCUUUGCUACGGAAUAGCCUCGGGAAACUGGGAGUAAUACCGUAUGUGCCCUUCGGGGGAAAGAUUUAUCGGCAAAGGAUCGGCCCGCGUUGGAUUAGGUAGUUGGUGGGGUAAUGGCCUACCAAGCCGACGAUCCAUAGCUGGUUUGAGAGGAUGAUCAGCCACACUGGGACUGAGACACGGCCCAGACUCCUACGGGAGGCAGCAGUGGGGAAUCUUAGACAAUGGGGGCAACCCUGAUCCAGCCAUGCCGCGUGUGUGAAGAAGGCCUUCGGUUGUAA